AGAUUCUUCCACAAGUGAAUAAUUGUCAUUGUCAUACCUCAUUCUAUGAGAAAUAUAAUAUACGGAUUUGAAUCAGGUUUUGACAAAAACUUCUCCUGGUAUUCAAUGAGUCAAAUGGAGAAUGGUAUAUAAGAGAAUUUCUAACUUUGGGCACCCAUCUUUGGGAUGAAUGUGAUGACUCGUUCAAGAAUCAUUUCCAAAAGAUGUUCCUAGAAGCAUAAAGUAUAAAUGAAUGUCACUGUGCUUCAAACUUAUUGGACAAAAAUUAAAAACAACAACAACAACA